AGGACAGUCCUCUCAUAAAGACCAAUCUCUAUGGGACUGUGGUAAAGUGAAAUGAAGAAUGGAUUUGUAUGAUUGGCUCAAGAUAGACAGUCGGCUGUAAAAACAAAAUACAACAAAAUGGCUCAAUACAUAUGAUUCUGAUAAAUGAUGACAUCAUUGCUUUUAAAGAAGCUCAGACAUUCUGCUUUAGAAAGAACAACAUGGGGAAGCAUGUGCAUUCAUUGCCAGGUUGCUGCUCUCACACUGUCCCUUUAAGAAGCCAGUACAGCUGUCACUGGAGUGAUUGUCUGAGCUUAAACUCCUCUGGUGGAGGGGCUUAUGCAGCGCUUCAGCAGGAUCCAAUCAGGCAGGUAGCACUCCUCGUUCUGCUCCCCCCAGAGUCCCAUCAGCAACACCCUCACAGGAGAACUCCUACAGAUGGGACACAUGCUCACUAAAGACUGCAGAAAGUUUUAAUGCUGGGAAAUGAGUGAAAUGGCAGAACCAGCAACAAUAACCAGACCCCUGAUAUCCUCCAAGCGGCACAAGAGCAUAAGAAAGAAUUCCAAAAGGAUUUAUUCCCCUUAUCAAGACGAUAAUGGAGCAUCUGAUGAUGAGGAUAAGGAUGGAGAGAGAGUGGACAGUAAUGAUCCAGAGGAGAUGUUCCAGAACAUUCAGCUUCAGAAGGAAAUCAUCGCCAACAUCCGAACCAAACCCUGGCCAAUCAGACGCAAGCUAAAAGUGCUCAAGCAAGCCAGAGAGAUUGUUCUGAAGUAUGAGGGCAGACUGACCAGGACACGAGGGUACCAGGCAGCUGGGGCAGAUUUGCUGAAGAAGAUUUCAAGAGUCCUCUACAACAUUGUUGUUCUGUUCAUUCCCUGGGAGAUGAGGAUUAAAAAGAUUGAAAGUCAUUUUGGAUCAGGAGUGGCAUCUUACUUCAUAUUCCUACGGUGGCUGUUUGGGAUCAAUAUAGUUCUCACUAUUAUGACUGGAGCCUUUAUUGUGCUGCCUGAGCUCCUGGCCGGUGCUCCAUUUGGUACCACCCGCAGCAAGACCAUUCCCAAGGAGCACCUUUCUUCCGCACAAGAUCUGGACACCAUCUGGUCACUGGGGGGAUAUCUACAAUACUCUGUGCUUUUUUACGGCUACUACGGCAAUGUGCGUAAAAUCGGCAGUGCUGGCUACAGACUACCCUUGGCCUAUUUUCUGGUUGGGAUGGCAGUUUUUGCCUACAGCUUCAUCACUUUGUUAAGAAAAAUGGCUAAAAACUCCCGCACGAGUUUAGCCGGCGCCUCCGAGGAGAAUUACACUUUCUGCUGGCGUGUCUUCUGUGCAUGGGACUACCUGAUCGGGAACCCAGAGGCGGCCGAGAGUAAAGGGGCAGCCAUCGUCAAUAGCAUCAGGGAGGCCAUUGUCGAAGAGCAAGAGAAGAAGAAAGACACAAGCUUAGCCGUACUGAUCAGUUUGCGGAUUCUGGCGAACAUUCUCGUCCUGCUGUCAUUGGCCGGCAGCAUCUACAUCAUCUACUUUGUGGUGGAUCGUUCUCAGAAACUAGAGCAAGAGAAACCUGAGCUGACACUCUGGGAGAAGAACGAGGUGAGUGUGGUGGUAUCCCUCAUCACAAUGAUCGCUCCUUCAGCCUUUGAGCUCGUCGCCCAGUUGGAGAUGUACCACCCAAGAACCAGUCUCCGCUUCCAGCUUGCCAGAGUUCUGGUGUUGUACCUUGGAAACCUCUACAGUCUGAUUAUUGCCCUGCUGGAUAAAGUCAACAGUAUGAGCUCUGCUAUUCCUGUGGGUCCAGGAAACCUGUCUGACUCAACAUCGUACCUAGCGACCAUUUCCCAGCCUACUGAGGACAACCUGUCUACCAUUGUCCCGGAUAUGACAGAGCGGAGGAACAGCACACUGACCAUGACUCUUCUGGACCUCAACAACAGCGUGACCACUAUCAAGAGCACCACAUCCUCCAGACAGCCAAUGAGAAUGCAGGCUCUGCUAAACCAGACCAUCCUCUAUGAGUACAACACCAGAUCACAGCAAGACCCCUGCUGGGAAACAUAUGUCGGUCAGGAGAUGUUGAAGCUCUCCAUCAUUGAUAUGAUCUUCACGGUGGCGAGUAUCCUGCUCAUUGAUUUUAUCCGGGGACUGGUGGUUCGAUACUUGAGUGACUGCUGCUGUUGGGACUUGGAGAGCAAGUUUCCAGAAUAUGGUGAAUUUAAAAUAGCUGAAAAUGUCCUUCAUCUGAUAUACAACCAGGGAAUGAUAUGGAUGGGAGCAUUCUUUUCUCCCUGUCUGCCCGCCUUUAACGUCCUGAAGCUCAUUGGGCUGAUGUACCUGCGGAGCUGGGCUGUGCUGACCUGUAACGUCCCCCAUCAGCAGGUCUUUAAGGCCUCCAGAUCAAAUAACUUCUAUCUGGCGAUGCUUCUCUUCAUGCUUUUCCUGUGUAUGUUACCGACCAUUUUUGCCAUUGUGAGGUACCGGCCGUCUCAGUACUGUGGGCCAUUCAGUGGCCAGGAGAAGAUUUACGACAUCAUCUCCGAAACCAUUGCCAACGACUUCCCGAUGUGGUUCAAUAAAGUGAUGAGUUACGUCACCAGUCCUGUGGUGGUGCUGCCCGCUUUGCUUCUACUCUUCAUGCUGAUCUACUACCUACAAUCCAUCGCUAGAUCACUCAAAGUCACCAACAGCCAGCUGAGACUGCAGCUGCAGACCGAGCGCACAGACGACAAGAAGAAAGUAUUUCAGUUAGCUGCAGCACGUCUGCAGGCACCUGAGGGCGGCGAUAAAAAGCCGGAACAAGAGAGCGACAUCACUAGCGUGGAGUCGUCCGCCCGCUCCACCUCCCCUCCGCGGCGCAACGGUAGCGUCACCAACUUCGAAUCUCCCGUCCGGCAUGGCAACAGCAUCCGGACCAUAACCCAGUCGGCUUCACGGGCUGACGUCCCCGGAACGGCCGGAGCGACGCGGAGUCCCUCUGUCCCAGUGCGGCAGAAACACAAAGCGGAGCACGUAGCCAGUAGUGCUUUCAGAAUGUACAGCAGCCCCUCAGUUCCUCAAAGACAAGUACGACGAGUGGAGUACAUACCCAUCAGGCAUUCUGGAUACUUGGGCAGCACCAGCGGUUCCUGCCGCUCCAAGUCCCACCACAACAUGGCCUACAACCCAUGCACACGGUAUGGCGAGAACAUCCAUUCCGAGCCAGUGUUUCGGAAAACCCUCCGGCCCGUGCACAAUGAGCCCGGCGUAAUCACGGCUCAGAGCUACGUGGGCCGUCGGGCACACACGACACGCUACGUCAUCGUCAACGAACAUGAAGCUCGCAAGAAGCUUGUGCGCUCCACUACACGCGUACCGAGACAUUACCGCCUAGUAGAUGAACCGACGGAGAUUGUAGAGCUGUAUCCACGUAACGUGAAGUGUUACAUUCCUCGUACCCCUCACCGCAGCCACCAGCCACACCUCAGCGAGGAAGAGGAGGAGGUAGAGGAAGACCCGAAGAGCAGCACGAGGAGGGGAUCGAACCGUCCGCGAUCACUGUCGGACCUCCAUCAGAGCGCACGGUUCUACAUUGGCGACGCCAUAAACAGUCAGUUGUCUAUGGAGCAGGGUUUAUAUGGCGACGAAGAAGAGGAUGAUCAGGAAGACGACUGGGUGAACGAUGGCUCGCACCCUUGCUCUCAAACAAACAUCCGAGGCCCAGAGUCAGCUCACAGGUACGGCGAACAAUAUGUCAAGCCCAAGACCAAGCAUAAAGUGGAGCCUUCGCUGACCGAGUCAGAUUCGGCGUCGCUGGCGUCUAGUAGCGACCAACAAAACAGCAGCACGGACCAGUACAUUCAGGUCAUUCACAACAAGGACAAGUACCUGAAGCCCAGUGCUAAGCUGACCAAAAAGAAAUCCAAGACCAGCAUUAAACUCAAUGCAUCUGGCACCAAUGAUCUUGUCUGCUCCAAUGUUUAACCUGUGUAGAUCUAAAACAGAGAUUAUGGCUCUGUUCAAAAACCCUAGUGAGCUGUCUACAUAGGAAGCAUUAAGGCCUCGUAGGCGCACACCAAUACGAAGACUGUUUCAAAAGGACAAUGGAAAACGGACAUGCAAAACUCAUUUCUGGGUUUUGGCCAACAAAAAUGCCACCUCUGCACCACUUCUCUCACCUCCUACUUGAAAAUAACUGGAACUGUGCUUGAGGUUGGACAUCCAACUCAUUCAGAGCAAAUCGAUCAAACCUCAACUUCACCGAGAAGCAUCAUUUUUAAGAUGAAACCAUUGGUUAAGUGGAGUUGUGAGUUGUCUGGAACGCAUCAUGACUAAAAAUGUUAGUAAAUGGGGAAACUCCAAACAGCAUAAAUCCAUCCAAGAUGAUGUAUGGAGUUGAGAGAAAUGGUAGUGUAUUUUAUUAAAUUCUGAAAAUAUAGUUAUCUAAAUAAAAAUGGACUUUCAUUCAAUUUUUACUUAGAAAAAUUGCACCAUUAGCUUGGCAACAUGCACAAACUCCAUUGAGCGCCAGUUGCUGCCUACAUAGAGCGUUACAUAUCAGUCAUUUAUGAAGUUCGGUUGUAGUUAGGAUCCCUCAUUAACAAGGCAGCUGCUCAUGUAGGUAGCAGACAGCAAGGCAGCUUACUAGGUUUUGGAACAGAGCCAUUUAAUACAAUACCUACAGGCUUAUUCUAUGAAAGUUGCAGUUUGCCUUGUAAAGCACAAAGAAAUGGCCAAUCUGUGUAAGUGUACUUUGCAUGUAUCUGUAGAUUUUCAUUAAAGCUGAUUCAAAGAAAUUUUUGGACUCCACUAUCUAAUUCAAGGCUGUACCUUGUAUUUAAGAUUGGGUGUGUAAAUGUAAACAUUUACAGUCAGCCAAUGAAAAACUGCUAUUGAACUCUUUCCCCCUGUAAUCUCUGUGAGGGUUGUGACCUUGAUCCAGAUGAUCAUGAGCAACAAGUUAAAAGGUUGCAUAAGCGUUCCCUCUGAGCAAUUAUGAUUACCUCAACACUUUAAAUAUCAAUAUUUAUUGAGAUUAAGAGGUUGAGUGUGUAGGGUUUUCAAUGAAUUAUUACAUUUAUGAACUGUUUACAAUCCUGAAUAUGUGGUAAUAGUCGUGUAUGAUGUAGGAUAUGUGUAAACAAAAGCAUCACGUCAAUCUAUAUUGUAUGAAUAUGCUUGUGUUGUAAUACGAGGAAGUAUUUCCAUUAAGGACAAUGGAACUCUUUCAGAAAUAUUUUCUCAUGUUCAGGCUAUACGAUUAAGACUCUGUGAUGUGCUUUUCAUAAUUCAUAACAUUUACAAAAUUAUUUUAGAGGUUGUCAACUUUUGUA